rnacentral:rRNA from 1 species
UCGAGAAUCUUUCGCAAUGGGCGAAAGCCUGACGAAGCGACGCCGUGUGAGCGAAGAAGGCCUUCGGGUUGUAAAGCUCUUUCGCUAGGGAACAAGAGAGACGUGGUAACAUAACGUUGAUUUGAUGGUACUUGGUAAAGAAGCACCGGCUAACUCCGUGCCAGCAGCUGCGGUAAUACGGAGGGUGCAAGCAUUGAUCGGAAUUACUGGGCGUAAAGGGCGCGUAGGCGGUUUUGAAAGUCAGAUGUGAAAUUCCGGGGCUCAACCCCGGAGCUGCAUUUGAAACUUCAGAACUAGAGGUCAGUUAGGGAAAACGGAAUUCCACGUGUAGCGGUGAAAUGCGUAGAUAUGUGGAAGAACACCAGUGGUGAAGACGGUUUUCUGGGCUGAUACUGACGCUGAGGCGCGAAAGCAAGGGGAGCAAACAGGAUUAGAUACCCGCGUAGUCC